rnacentral:rRNA from 1 species
AUGGCGGAUCACAGAGAAUCCCCUGAUACUCGUAGCAGCAUCCCGGAUGACCUGAUCCCCGAGAUCAUCUCCCGCCUGCCUGCCCGAGCGGUCCUUCGUUCCCGCGCCAUCUGCAAGCUGUGGCGCAGCAUCAUCGACGACGACCGGUUUCCCCACGCCCACCGCCGACAUCAGCCGCACAUGCCCCUGCUGCGCCUCUACCGCGACGACAGCCUAGCAUCCCCGGAACUGAACCCGCCGUACUUGCGCGUCCGCAUCGAAGGCAUCGACCUCCGCGCUCGCGCGUCCCAGCCGGUGCUCCGUUUCGCCGUCGCUCAAGAGCACAAGCACGCCGUCGAGUCCGAGGAGAAGCGGCCGCGACGGGACCGCAAUUUCCGGCACAUCGAUCCGGCGACGCUGUGGCACCCCAGCGCGUUCGACGUCCACGGCUCCUGCGACGGCGUCCUCCUCAUCUCCCACGGAUGGAGCAUAUAUGCAUACAAUCCUGCCACGCGCUGCUGGGCCGACCUCCCCGAAAACGGCAGCAUCGUCAUCGGCUUCUACGUGCAUCGCCCUUCCGGCAACUUCCAUAUCCUGUUGUCCCACCGGCUCUGUCGUGCCGAGCACUGGGUCUUCACCAUGGGCCACAAGGUGGUCCAGAGGCGCAUUGCCUCCCCCGACUUUCUGUCCGAUCAGAAUACGAUCCGCCCCGCCUGCGAGUCGCCGCCGGCCCUCGUCUCCGGCAACCUGCACUGGCUGCCGCAGAGCUUCCAGAGCGACAGACAACUGCUGGUGUUCGACACCGUCUCGGAGACGUUCCGGUGGAUGAGCCCAUCCGACGUAGAUGCGGACGGACGGGCGCUGCUGGAGCUCGAGGGCAUGCUUACCAUGACCGUGCGCGGGGAGAGGACGGUGCAGCUCUGGGUCAUGCCGAACUACGAGCAACCUGCCUGGUUCUGCAAGCUCCAGUUCUCACUCUCGGUGGAUCACAUCGACCGCUUCUCCGGCGUGGCAGUCGUGUCGCUGGAGGGAGACGUGCUGGUCCAUGGCGAGCGCUGCGUGUUGCAGUGCGAUUCCAAGGGGAGAGUGCAGAAACAUCACAAGCUUGAUUGCCACCGGACCGUCGCCAUGCCACACUUGUUUAAAGAAAACCUUGUUCGACAUGGCUGCCUUGAUUGUCCACAGCCCAAGGCAGGGUGGCGUGGUCGUGAGAGACCACCUUUUUUCCGCGAUAUGCGAUGGAUGCUACUACCGUACAUGAAAGUGGAUGGUGAAGUAAUCCCUCAAAAAAUGUAA